GCAGAGCUUGUUACAGUGCUCGUACACAUGGACAGUGAAGGAAAUGAAUAGUCACACUAGUGGAUUACAAUGAUAAUAACCAAGGAACUACACGGGAUAAUCGCACUAAACAGAGUUAAAAUCCACUGUAAUUCAAGCAAAGCUGAACAAGAAUGAAGCUCAAAUAUCAAGUAAUAGAGGUUCAGCAGGAAAAUUACACAACUUUGUUUAGAAAAAAAAUGAAAUUUACACUGAAGUUCUAGGAAAAAUUACACUGCAAUUCGGAGAAUAAUUACACUAUAAUUACAUAAAUAAAGCAUGAAGUUUAAACUGUAAUUAUGGGGAAAAUUACACUGUAAUUACAUAAAUGAAGCAUGGAGUUUACACUGUAAUUCUAGGAAAAUUACACUGUAAUUAAAAAAAUGAAGCAUUGAGAUUACACUAAAAUCUGGGCUAAAUUACACUGCAAUUCUAGGGUAUAUUACACUGCAAUUACAAAAAGGAAGCAUGGGGAUUGCAAUGAAAUUCUUGAAAAAUAGCUUUAUCAAACCCUCUAUCAUCACUAGAAAGAUCCUGAAAAAUAAUUCAGUCAACAAACAAAAAAAAAAAAUAAACUGAAAGAAAGAAUAAAAACGAAAAUGAAAGUAGAGAACAAGACAGAAAUAACUACCAAAGACAUAGCAUUAGAACCAUCUUCCGCAAAGUCAUUAGGCACAAAAGGAUCAUUCCAAGAAUCAGCACUCAUGAUAGAAGAAACUACCGAAACAUCCUUGUGAGAGACUUUCCGUAGUCUCCCCAUUGACCUAAACCUAACAAAACAGAAUACAUGACACACGAAAAAAAGAAAUUAAAGAAAGUUGAAAAUUAUAGAGUAAUGGGGCUCAAUUACAAGGGAAAUCUCACAACAAAUACACUGAAAGGCAGCAAUCAGGGGAAUUAUAGAAUAAUGGGGCAUAUUAAUACAGUGCAAGAAUCACUUAAAAUACAGUGUAAAAACCAACCUAAAUACAGUGAAGCUCUAAGUCAAAAUACACAAUAAUUAGGGCAACUUACAAUGAAAAGGUAGAGGAAGUACACUGCCAAAAACUGAAGAUAAAUUAUAUAGUAAGAAUGGGGGAUAUUACAGUGCAAAACCGCAUGAAUGCAUGCAAAACAUCUGAGAAAAAUUACAAUGUAAAUAACAAAGAAACUGGCGCAGUAUUACACUGAAAAAUAUACACUGCAAUUUACACUGAAAGAAGCAUGAGAAUUACACUGUAACGGGGGAAAAUAUUACACAAUAACUCUAGGGAAAAUUACACAGUAACUACAAAAUAAAGAAGCACGAAAAAAACAAUGUAAUUACGGUAUAUUACACUGUAAUUGCAGGCUAACCUACAGUGUGAUUCUACAACACAUGAGAAUUACACUGUAAUGGGGGAAAAUAUUACACAGUAAUUCUAGGACAAAUUACACAGUAACUACAAAUAAAGAAGCACAAAAAACACACGGUAAUCACGGUAUAUUGCACUGUAAUUGCAGGGUAACCUACAGUGUAAUUCUACGACAUGUUACACAGUAAUUAUAGCAAAAUUUACACUGAAGAAAGAAGCAUCAGGAUUACACUGUAAUUAGGGGGGAACUACACAGUACUACUAGGACAAAUUACAGAGUAACAACAAAUAAAGAAGCAUCAGGAUACACUGUAAAUGCACUGCAAUUAUGGGGCAAGUUACACUGUGAUUAUGAGUUAAAUUACACAGUAAUUCUGGAUGGGGAUACACUGCAAUUCUAGGGGUAAGUUACACUUCAAGUCUGGAGUAAAAAUACACCGUAAAGAAGCAUGAAAUUCAGAGAGAUUCCUGGACUAACACUAUAACAACACUGCAGCCUAGUACACACAAAUUCAGAGAGAUUCAGGUACCGGGUGAAAUGAACACCUACAUCUAACAAAAAAAUUCAUACUGAAUUCCAGGGACUACAACAGCAAACAUCAGCAGCUAAUAGCAACUACAAGUAAACUGCAGAAGCAGGCAGAAACCCAUGCUAGACCAUCUGCAACUACAUCUAACGACAAAGGAACAGACACCCAGGCCAGCAGAAAUAAAAUUGAUAGGGCGAAUCCACCGCUGCAACUAUAACUUCGCCUACCUCUACAUCUACAUCAGAAUAAACAACCUACGCCUACCUCUACAUCUACAAGCAGGGGAGAAAAGGACCACAACAAGCAGAUGGAUUAGAACUCCCCACAUACAACAAGCUCCUACACAACUCAGGCGGGCAGAAGGAUGGGAAAUGGAGCGCUAGGCAUGGCGGACUAGAAACAGACACGGCAGCAACAUGCACCUACCACGGAUCCACGGACAACACCAAUAACAGAUGAACCACGGAUCCAAAACUUACCUAGAUCCGGAACUACACAGCCACAACACAGGGAAACGCGAGAGACAAGGACAACCAACCGCGGCAGCGGGGAUCGAAGAGAAAAGGGAGGAGAAAUCGAAAUCGGGCGGUGGAAUAGCCCGGAAUCGCCAUGAACAUAAGAAAUCGCUUCCUCUCCUCCGCCGCUCGAGCUCCUUCCCUUCUCCUUGCCUUAUCAAAACAGAACCCCCCAAAUGAAAGUGGAGAAAGUGCCGGGCCGGGGGCGGUAACGGGCUGAGACAGGAAAACCAAACCCGAG
rnacentral:lncRNA from 1 species